rnacentral:rRNA from 1 species
GAGUUUGAUCCUGGCUCAGAGUGAACGCUGGCGGCGUGCCUAAUACAUGCAAGUCGAACGAUGAAGCUUCUAGCUUGCUAGAAGUGGAUUAGUGGCGCACGGGUGAGUAACGCAUAGAUAACAUGCCCUUUAGUCUGGGAUAGCCACUGGAAACGGUGAUUAAUACUAGAUAUUCCCUACGGGGGAAAGAGGCUUUCAAUAGAGAAUUUCGGCUUUACAAGAUAAAUCAAUGAGAGAAAUCAAUGGGCUUGAAAAAAUUUUGCUCACAUACGCCAGUAUGCUACGCUUCAAUUUUUUCUGCGCAACAUUAAUUUCUCAUUCUAAAUCCUAGAAGUUCUUUUUACGGAGAUUCUAGGAUUUUGGAAUGCUUUUGUAGGUUAUGAAAAUUUUGCAAUGAAAGAUAAGAGAGAUGUUCUAUCAAGGAAGCAAGAUUUGAACUCCUAGCAGAAUAGCCAAAAGGUAAAUUUUCUAUUGAGAGCUUUCGCUAAAGGAUUGGUCUAUGUCCUAUCAGCUUGUUGGUGAGGUAAUGGCUCACCAAGGCUAUGACGGGUAUCCGGCCUGAGAGGGUGAACGGACACACUGGAACUGAGACACGGUCCAGACUCCUACGGGAGGCAGCAGUAGGGAAUAUUGCUCAAUGGGGGAAACCCUGAAGCAGCAACGCCGCGUGGAGGAUGAAGGUUUUAGGAUUGUAAACUCCUUUUGUUAGAGAAGAUUAUGACGGUAUCUAACGAAUAAGCACCGGCUAACUCCGUGCCAGCAGCCGCGGUAAUACGGAGGGUGCAAGCGUUACUCGGAAUCACUGGGCGUAAAGAGUGCGCAGGCGGGUAAUUAAGUCAGAUGUGAAAUCCUAUAGCUUAACUAUAGAACUGCAUUUGAAACUGAUUAUCUAGAGUGUGGGAGAGGUAGGUGGAAUUCUUGGUGUAGGGGUAAAAUCCGUAGAGAUCAAGAGGAAUACUCAUUGCGAAGGCGACCUACUGGAACAUUACUGACGCUCAUGCACGAAAGCGUGGGGAGCAAACAGGAUUAGAUACCCUGGUAGUCCACGCCCUAAACGAUGAAUGCUAGUUGUUGUGGAGCUUGUCUCUGCAGUAAUGCAGCUAACGCAUUAAGCAUUCCGCCUGGGGAGUACGGUCGCAAGAUUAAAACUCAAAGGAAUAGACGGGGACCCGCACAAGCGGUGGAGCAUGUGGUUUAAUUCGAAGAUACGCGAAGAACCUUACCUAGGCUUGACAUUGAUAGAAUCUACUAGAGAUAGUGGAGUGCCACUUUUGUGGAGCUUGAAAACAGGUGCUGCACGGCUGUCGUCAGCUCGUGUCGUGAGAUGUUGGGUUAAGUCCCGCAACGAGCGCAACCCUCGUCCUUAGUUGCUAGCAGUUCGGCUGAGCACUCUAAGGAGACUGCCUUCGUAAGGAGGAGGAAGGUGAGGACGACGUCAAGUCAUCAUGGCCCUUACGUCUAGGGCUACACACGUGCUACAAUGGGAAGUACAAAAAGAUGCAAUAUCGUGAGGUGGAGCAAAUCUUAAAAACUUCUCUCAGUUCGGAUUGUAGUCUGCAACUCGACUACAUGAAGCUGGAAUCGCUAGUAAUCGCAAAUCAGCAAUGUUGCGGUGAAUACGUUCCCGGGUCUUGUACUCACCGCCCGUCACACCAUGGGAGUUGUAUUCGCCUUAAGUCGGGAUACUAAAUUGGUUACCGCCCACGGCGGAUGCAGCGACUGGGGUGAAGUCGUAACAAGGUAACCGUAGGUGAACCUGC